rnacentral:rRNA from 1 species
GAUGAACGCUGGCGGCGUGCCUAAUACAUGCAAGUCGAGCGAACAGAUGAGGAGCUUGCUCCUCUGACGUUAGCGGCGGACGGGUGAGUAACACGUGGAUAACCUCCCUAUAAGACUGGGAUAACUUCGGGAAACCGGAGCUAAUACCGGAUAAUAUAUUGAACCGCAUGGUUCAAUAGUGAAAGACGGUUUUGCUGUCACUUAUAGAUGGAUCCGCGCCGCAUUAGCUAGUUGGUAAGGUAACGGCUUACCAAGGCAACGAUGCGUAGCCGACCUGAGAGGGUGAUCGGCCACACUGGAACUGAGACACGGUCCAGACGCCUACGGGAGGCAGCAGUAGGGAAUCUUCCGCAAUGGGCGAAAGCCUGACGGAGCAACGCCGCGUGAGUGAUGAAGGUCUUCGGAUCGUAAAACUCUGUUAUUAGGGAAGAACAAAUGUGUAAGUAACUAUGCACGUCUUGACGGUACCUAAUCAGAAAGCCACGGCUAACUACGUG